UAGGAGAAUUUUUCAGUGUCAGCUAUGG
rnacentral:piRNA from 1 species